UACGUAGGCAGCGAGCGUUGUUCGGAAUUACUGGGCGUAAAGAGUGUGUAGGCGGUGCUCUAAGUUCGGUGUGAAAUCUCCUGGCUCAACUGGGAGGGUGCGCCGGAAACUGGAGUGCUUGAGCGUGGGAGAGGAAAGCGGAAUUCCUGGUGUAGCGGUGAAAUGCGUAGAUAUCAGGAGGAACACCUGUGGUGUAGACGCUUUCUGGACCAUAGCUGACGCUGAGACACGAAAGCCGUGGGGAGCAAACAGG
rnacentral:rRNA from 1 species